rnacentral:misc_RNA from 1 species
CUCUCGACAAUCCAGAUCAGACGUAGAGUGCGUGAAGGGUCAGACACUAGAUUAAUGGAGUAGAGAUUGUGGGCUACCCAUAAAGCUAUAGCUAAACCAAGUCCACAGAUCAGGUGGAUAGACAAUGCUUNNNNNNNNNNNNNUACCGAUCGGGAGGAGUUCUCGGCUGUUGAAGCUUUUGCAAUAUUGCCCAUCUCCUUCUUCUUCUUCUCCUCCUCCAUCUUCCAGAGGGAAAAUUAUAUGAUAAAACCGCAAUUUUGAUUCUUUGAACCGCUGGUUCCACAAGCAUACAUAAGGGGACACUUGGAA